rnacentral:rRNA from 1 species
GGUGAACGCUGGCGGCGUGCCUAAGACAUGCAAGUCGAGCGGGGCAGGUUUAUGCCUGUUCAGCGGCGGACGGGUGAGUAACGCGUGGGUGACCUACCCGGAAGAGGCGGACAACCUGGGGAAACCCAGGCUAAUCCGCCAUGUGGUCCUGUCCUGUGGGGCAGGACUAAAGGGUGGAUAGCCCGCUUCCGGAUGGGCCCGCGUCCCAUCAGCUAGUUGGUGGGGUAAAGGCCCACCAAGGCGACGACGGGUAGCCGGUCUGAGAGGAUGGCCGGCCACAGAGGCACUGAGACACGGGACCCAGUCCUACGGGAGGCAGCAGUUAGGAAUCUGCCGCAAUGGACGGAAGUCUGACGGAGCGACGCCGCUGGGAGGAGGAAGCCCUUCGGGGUGUAAACUCCUGAACUGGGGACGAAAGCCCUGUGUAGGGGGAUGACGGGACCCAGGUAAUAGCGCGGGCCAACUACGUG